rnacentral:rRNA from 1 species
UACAGAGGUCCCAAGCGUUGUUCGGAUUCAUUGGGCGUAAAGGGUGCGUAGGUGGCGCCGUAAGUCAGGUGUGAAAUCUCGGGGCUCAACCCCGAAACUGCACUUGAUACUGCGGUGCUCGAGUACUGGAGAGGAGAUUGGAAUUUACGGUGUAGCAGUGAAAUGCGUAGAUAUCGUAAGGAAGACCAGUGGCGAAGGCGAAUCUCUGGACAGUUACUGACACUGAGGCACGAAAGCGUGGGGAGCGAACAGG